rnacentral:rRNA from 1 species
UACGUAGGGUGCAAGCGUUGUCCGGAAUUAUUGGGCGUAAAGAGCUCGUAGGCGGUCUGUCGCGUCUGCUGUGAAAACUCGGGGCUUAACCCCGGGCCUGCAGUGGGUACGGGCAGACUAGAGUGCGGUAGGGGAAACUGGAAUUCCUGGUGUAGCGGUGAAAUGCGCAGAUAUCAGGAGGAACACCGGUGGCGAAGGCGGGUCUCUGGGCCGUAACUGACGCUGAGGAGCGAAAGCGUGGGGAGCGAACAGG